rnacentral:rRNA from 1 species
CCAAUAGCGUAUAUUAAAGUUGUUGCAGUUAAAAAGCUCGUAGUUGAAUUUCGGGACCAAUCUGUUGGUCGUGCCUCGGUACGUACUGGUAUUAUUGGUUUCUCCCUUCUGAAGAAUCUCGAUGCCAUUAAUUUGGUGUCGUGGGGAAUCAGGACUGUUACUUUGAAAAAAUUAGAGUGUUUAAAGCAAGCAUACGCUUGAAUACAUUAGCAUGGAAUAAUGAAAUAGGACGUUUGAUUCUAUUUUGUUGGUUUCUAGGAUCGACGUAAUGAUUAAUAGGGAUAGUUGGGGGCAUUAGUAUUCAAUUGUCAGAGGUGAAAUUCUUGGAUUUAUUGAAGACUAACUACUGCGAAAGCAUUUGCCAAGGAUGUUUUCAUUAAUCAAGAACGAAAGUUAGGGGAUCGAAGACGAUCAGAUACCGUCGUAGUCUUAACCAUAAACUAUGCCGACUAGGGAUCGGGUGAUGUUAAUUUUUUAAUGACUCAUUCGGCGCCUUAC